AGAGUUUGAUCCUGGCUCAGAUUGAACGCUGGCGGCAGGCCUAACACAUGCAAGUCGAGCGGCAGCACGGGAAGCUUGCUUCCUGGUGGCGAGCGGCGGACGGGUGAGUAAUGCAUAGAAAUCUGCCCGGUAGUGGGGGAUAACCUGGGGAAACCCAGGCUAAUACCGCAUACGUCCUACGGGAGAAAGCAGGGGAUCUUCGGACCUUGCGCUAUCGGAUGAGUCUAUGUCGGAUUAGCUUGUUGGUGAGGUAAUGGCUCACCAAGGCGACGAUCCGUAGCUGGUCUGAGAGGAUGAUCAGCCACAUCGGGACUGAGACACGGCCCGAACUCCUACGGGAGGCAGCAGUGGGGAAUAUUGGACAAUGGGCGAAAGCCUGAUCCAGCCAUGCCGCGUGUGUGAAGAAGGCCUUCGGGUUGUAAAGCACUUUCAGUGGGGAAGAAAGCUUUGGGGCUAAUACCCUCGAGGAAGGACAUCACCCACAGAAGAAGCACCGGCUAACUCCGUGCCAGCAGCCGCGGUAAUACGGAGGGUGCGAGCGUUAAUCGGAAUUACUGGGCGUAAAGCGCGCGUAGGCGGUCUGAUAAGCCGGUUGUGAAAGCCCCGGGCUCAACCUGGGAACGGCAUCCGGAACUGUCAGGCUAGUGUGCAGGAGAGGAAGGUAGAAUUCCCGGUGUAGCGGUGAAAUGCGUAGAGAUCGGGAGGAAUACCAGUGGCGAAGGCGGCCUUCUGGACUGACACUGACGCUGAGGUGCGAAAGCGUGGGUAGCAAACAGGUUUAGAUACCCUGGUAGUCCACGCCGUAAACGAUGUCGACUAGCCGUUGGGCUCCUUGAGAGCUUUGUGGCGCAGUUAACG
rnacentral:rRNA from 1 species